AUGAUUGACACAAACUGCCCAAUUAUGAGCUGGAACAUACGAGGGCUCAACUCGCCUACCCGACGAGCAGUAGUGAAUGAAACAGCGGAAACACAUAAGCUCGCUCUCCUCUGCCUCCAAGAGACAAAGAUCGACGAAUGGAGCAGAUCACUAGUCAGGGAAGUAGGCGGAGCCAGGCUAGCUGACUGCGUUGUCCUCCCGACCACGGGCACUAGGGGAGGCGCGGCAAUCUUCUGGGACAGGAGCCGCGUGGACAUGCAAUCUCACGCCAUAUGGCGCUUUUCCAUCACAGCCAAGAUCACCAUCAUAGCAACAACAACAUCAUUCUCGAUGACAACAGUGUAG
rnacentral:rRNA from 1 species